UACCAGCACCCCGAGUGGUCGAGACGUUUAUUGGGCCUAAAGCAUCCGUAGCCGGUUCUGCAAGUCUUCCGUUAAAUCCACCUGCUUAACAGAUGGGCCGCGGAAGGUACUAUAGAGCUAGGAGGCGGGAGAGGCAAGCGGUACUCGAUGGGUAGGGGUAAAAUCCGUUGAUCCAUUGAAGACCACCAGUGGCGAAGGCGGCUCACUGGCCCGGUACUGACGCUGAGGCGCGAAAGCGUGGGGAGCAAACAGG
rnacentral:rRNA from 1 species